GACGAAGGUGGCUAGCGUUGCUCGGAAUUACUGGGCCUAAAGCGCGCGUAGGUGGUCCUGUAAGCGGGGGAUGAAAGCCCAUGGCUCACCCAUGGAAUUGUCCUUCGGACUGCAGGGCUGGAGGGCGGGAGGGGAGAAUGGAAUUCCCGGUGUAGCGGUGAAAUGCGUAGAUAUCGGGAGGAACGCCGGUGGCGAAAGCGAUUCUCUGGCCCGUUCCUGACACUGAGGCGCGAGAGCUAGGGGAGCAAACAGG
rnacentral:rRNA from 1 species